UCUCAUUGUAAUGAGUAAGUUUCUCAUUGUAAUGACUAAAUUACUUAUUGUAAUGGGUAAAUUUCUCACUGUAAUGAGUAAGUUACUCAUUGGAAUGAGUAAGUUUCUCAUUGUAAUGAGUAAGUGUAGAGAAACGUCUACCUAUGCGUCAUAGCUUAUUUAGCUGCUAGCUAGUGGUAGCGUCCUGCGUUCAGGUAGCCGUAAAGUACAACUUGGUUUGCGCAUGUCAGCUGAGAGAAAGGCAACAGAAGAGGACUUGGUCUCUUUCCUCAAAACAAGGAAUAUACCUGACAGUGUCAUCGAUCAACUGAAUGAAGAUAAGGUGAGUAUAACUGUCAACUUUUUAUCAUACGAAUAUAGCAGUAUAGGCUUCCUUUCCGCUUGCUAGGUUAUAAUGAUGGACAUUUGUAACCUGUCUUUCUUCUUACAGAGCGAUAGUAACGUCACAUGUGUUAUGACAGAUAAAGAGUUAGGACAGUGUUUCAUCAGAUAAGGAUACUGACUUGCACUCAGAGCAUUUUGUCGUCGGAGAACCCUGACAAACAAAAACCUGUGUGGAAGUGAGGCUUUAAAGACGGUUCGGGAAUGUGCGAAGAGCAACUCCUGACCAGGGCACUGUUAGAAAUAAAGGUGCUGUCAAAGUCACACGCUGUGUUGAAAUGGGGUGGCUCCACUUUCAGAACGGCUCAUAUCAUCAAGUCAGAGCAAGAGGUGGAGGUGGAACACGACAUUUUCCGUUGACAAAUCAGCUGGAGACAGGCAAAGACUUGUUUUUUCCAAAUGGACUAUCGCCCAAAGGACCAAGUGAAGACUUUGACUUUGAUGUACAUGAUUAUAGUCAUAAUUUAGGGCCUCAUGAUGUCAGCUAUACGAGCAGAGUAAACUAGCCAUGCUGUGCAUCUACACAACCUCUUAAACAAAAGUAAUCCAGCUCUCUGAUGUGUCCUCGCACUUCAAGCCCACAGAUGAUUGACCAAUGAAGAAAUGAUCUCUGAGGAGACGAUCUUGCAGACAUCAGCACAGCAGGACUGGAAACAACCAAGUGGCUCUCUCAGGAGCUCCUUUUGCUCUAGAUCCAGCACCCAGUUGCUCAAUGCAGAGAGGAGCGCAAAUGAAUAACUGAAGUUCAGCGUCCGAGAUGACCGACACAGAAGACCUACAUCCUCUAUCUUCUCUAGUUCUCAGACUGUCAGUAGCCAUACAUGGUUAUGAGGGAGGCCAUGGUGAACAAAGGUUUGGUGACAUUUUGGAUCCACCACUUGUCCUUCCUAUGGAAGCAUGCCCUGAUGAUGAUGAAGUACACUUUGGACCAACUACUGGCGUUGUUGAUGGCCAAGACUCCACCCAACUUAUUUCAAGCACCAUUUUCACAUUGAUCAUGAUUUUAUUGCUCCUUUUAUUCAAUUGUUGACUUGGUUUAACACCAGUUAAAAAAACAAAUGUGUGACACAAAAUGAUAUUGAUGGCUGUUUUUUUUGUUUCACAGAUGCUCACCAAAUAGAGUAAUGGCCCGGGUCAUUAAAUAUUUCUGUAUAACCAGAAGAACACAGUUGCUUCAAUUCAACAUUUUGUGGGUUAUCCUGACUGGCUGCCUGAGAAUCUACACAGACAUGAAGCAAAUACUGUUUUUU